rnacentral:rRNA from 1 species
GAAGUGGCCGCCUGGGAUGCCCUCCUCCAGGACAUCGCCCUUCUCCCGAUGAGCGUCAACGACACCCCGGAGGCCAUCUCUUGGCUUCUAGAAUCUUCCGAUCGCUUCUCCACCAAAUCCUUGUACGCAGCCAUCGCGCCCUCGCCCGCCACCGAGCCCUUCAGUUUGAUCUGGAACAUCCGCUUGCCCCUGAAAAUCAGGAUCUUCCUAUGGCAAUGGAUCCGUGGCCGCCUCCCUUCCGGAGUCGAGGUCCUCAAGCGUAAUGGACCCGGAGAUGGGUUGUGCCCCCUAUGUGACACAGUGGAGGAUGCUAAUCACAUCUUCUUCACGUGCUCCACGACCCAGUUUCUUUGGCCUAGUUUCCGCGAGACGGUUGGCGGACAGUGGUGCAAUUCCAACUUCCCUGACCUUCUUGCGGAGAUCCAUGCCUCCCCCCCUCGCUACCGGCAUAUCUGA